rnacentral:rRNA from 1 species
UACGUAGGGGGCGAGCGUUGUCCGGAUUCAUUGGGCGUAAAGAGCUCGUAGGCGGCUCAGUAAGUCGGGUGUGAAACCUCCAGGCUCAACCUGGAGACGCCACCCGAUACUGCUGUGGCUAGAGUCCAGUAGGGGAGCGUGGAAUUCCUGGUGUAGCGGUGAAAUGCGCAGAUAUCAGGAGGAACACCGAUGGCGAAGGCAGCUCGCUGGGACGGUACUGACGCUGAGGCGCGAAAGCUAGGGGAGCAAACAGG